rnacentral:misc_RNA from 1 species
ACCGGGCUGGUUGUCGGAGUAGGUCGAGAAGAUCUCGGCCUUCUUCGUCGGCACGGUGGUGUUACGCUUGAUGAGAGGCGUCAUGACACCACCGGCGGUCUCGAUACCGAGGGAGAGAGGAGCGACGUCGAGGAGGAGGAGAUCCUGAGUCUUCUCCGAGGUGUCACCGGUGAGGAUGGCAGCCUGGACGGCAGCACCGUAGGCGACAGCCUCGUCGGGGUUAAUCGACUUGUUGGGCUCCUUCCCGUUGAA